rnacentral:rRNA from 12 species
CAAGGCGGCUAACCGUCCUGCAAGUGCUGGAUCCUGUCUGAUCUUGGAGGCUAAGCAGGGCAGGGCCUGGUUAGUACUUGGAUGGGAAACCAACAUGAAAGACCAGGAGCUGCUAGAU